rnacentral:rRNA from 1 species
CUAGAGAUAGAAAGUUACUUCGGUACGAUCGGUGACAGGUGGUGCAUGGUUGUCGUCAGCUCGUGUCGUGAGAUGUUGGGUUAAGUCCCGCAACGAGCGCAACCCCUAUUGUUAGUUGCCAUCAUUCAGUUGGGCACUCUAGCGAGACUGCCGGUAAUAAACCGGAGGAAGGUGGGGAUGACGUCAAAUCAUCAUGCCCCUUAUGACCUGGGCUACACACGUGCUACAAUGGUUGGUACAACGAGUUGCGAGUCGGUGACGGCGAGCUAAUCUCUUAAAGCCAAUCUCAGUUCGGAUUGUAGGCUGCAACUCGCCUACAUGAAGUCGGAAUCGCUAGUAAUCGCGGAUCAGCACGCCGCGGUGAAUACGUUCCCGGGCCUU